UGGGCGGGGAAGAUUGCGGCUGCCUUGGGAACCUAGCUGCCUAGACUUGGCUACCCUUUGCUGUGCUGCCCUGUGGAGCUGCUCCGUUGGGCAUCUCGGGUUCGUUUUGCGGCCGAGGAAGUGUCAUCUUUUUCCCUUGCAAGGCCGCGGAGACUGGAAGGAGGCAUCCACAGCUGUCCAAGUCAGAGCAUCCGCUGCCCACAAGCGAAGCACAGUACUGAAAAAACAGCAUCUCAUGGGAAUUUAGUACCAGGAGCUGCAGCACCUCCCAAGCCUCCCUCUGACUACAUCGUAGAGGACACCAGCAGCCCAAGAACUCUAAGCUAACCUUGUCCUGAUCCAACAGAUGGGAAUACCCAAGGAAGGAUGAAAAGGAAUCUGGGUGCCAGGUCCUCUCUCUGAGUGAUGGCAUCCACUGUCAGACUUUCAAGUCCCUCCUACAUGCAGUGACUCCCAGAUAUUCACUCUUCACCUCUUGCCUGAGCUCUGGUCUCACACUUCACAUGGAUAUUGUCUCCUGAAGAUCAUGCAGCCACAUCCACAGCCUCCAUUACCUGGGUCAGCUCCAUUGAGACAGCACGGCUUCUUGGGCAACCCUGUGCCCCGGCCACAAUAUUCCAUUGUGAUGCUGGACAGCAAGGCCCAUAAAAGGCAGCCAUAGAGUCUACAGAACAACAGGAAGGCCAGAUACGUGUCCAGAUAACUAUAAUGCAAAACUGAAGAUUGAAGGUGACAGAAAAGAGAAACAGGGAAUAGAUGGUGGGGAGAACAGGUGGUCUAGAAGGUUUCCAAAGAAGUUUUGCUGACUUUGCAUCUUGAGUGUUGGAUAAGAUUCAGGUCACAAAGCCUUCAUGUGAGAGGUAGCCUCCCUAUAGCAUGAAGAAAGGAGAAUAUCUUCUAAGACAAAGGGAUGCUGAGAAGAAUCCUAAGAAAGAGGCCUUUGCCAAGGUUCCUCAGGUUUACUACACUUGCUUCAUACUCAUUAUCGUAUUCCUCCAUGACUGGCCACUCUUCAUCAAACCUAGCAUAAAAUACUCAGGUCUGUUUCUUAGGGUCUUUAUUUCCUUAUAAAGGCUCCUGUGCUGUGUAAAACUUAUAUUAAAUACAUUUGUAUGCUUCUCUCCUGUUACUCUGGUUUUUUUUUUUUUUCAGUUUAAUUUUCAGACUCAAUCGGAAACCCUAAGAGGAUUAAGGAAAA